rnacentral:rRNA from 1 species
GAUGAACGCUGGCGGCGUGCCUAAUACAUGCAAGUCGAGCGAACAGACGAGGAGCUUGCUCCUCUGACGUUAGCGGCGGACGGGUGAGUAACACGUGGAUAACCUACCUAUAAGACUGGGAUAACUUCGGGAAACCGGAGCUAAUACCGGAUAAUAUCUUGAACCGCAUGGUUCAAUAGUGAAAGACGGCUUUGCUGUCACUUAUAGAUGGAUCCGCGCUGCAUUAGCUAGUUGGUAAGGUAACGGCUUACCAAGGCAACGAUGCGUAGCCGACCUGUGAGGGUGGUAGGCCACACUGGAACUGCAACAACGUCAAGACUCCUACGAGAGGCAGCAGUAGGGAAUCUUACGCAAUGGGCGAGAGCCUGACGGAGCAACGCCGCGUGAGUGAUGAAGGUCUUCGGAUCGUAAAACUCUGUUAUUAGGGAAGAACAAAUGUGUAAGUAACUAUGCACGUCUUGACGGUACCUAAUCAGAAAGCCACGGCUAACUACGUG